rnacentral:tRNA from 1 species
GCGGGUGUAGCACAGUGGUAGUGCGUCGCCUUGCCAUGGCGAAGACGAGGGUCCGAUUCCCUUCACCCGCU